AACGAACGCUGGCGGCAUGCCUAACACAUGCAAGUCGAACGAAGGCUUCGGCCUUAGUGGCGCACGGGUGCGUAACGCGUGGGAAUCUGCCCUUGGGUUCGGAAUAACUCAGAGAAAUUUGAGCUAAUACCGGAUGAUGACGUAAGUCCAAAGAUUUAUCGCCCAGGGAUGAGCCCGCGUAAGAUUAGCUAGUUGGUGGGGUAAAGGCCUACCAAGGCGACGAUCUUUAGCUGGUCUGAGAGGAUGAUCAGCCACACUGGGACUGAGACACGGCCCAGACUCCUACGGGAGGCAGCAGUGGGGAAUAUUGGACAAUGGGCGGAAGCCUGAUCCAGCAAUGCCGCGUGAGUGAUGAAGGCCUUAGGGUUGUAAAGCUCUUUUACCAGGGAUGAUAAUGACAGUACCUGGAGAAUAAGCUCCGGCUAACUCCGUG
rnacentral:rRNA from 1 species